rnacentral:rRNA from 1 species
GACGAACGCUGGCGGCGUGCCUAAUACAUGCAAGUAGUACGCAGUUGCGAACGGGUGAGUAACGCGUAGGUAACUACCUAUUAGAGGGGGAUAACUAUUGGAAACGAUAGCUAAUACCGCAUACUAGUAGAUGGACCUGCGUUUUAUUAGCUAGUAGGUAGGGUAAUGGCCUACCUAGGCAACGAUACAUAGCCGACCUGGGAGGGGGAGCGGACAAACAGGGACUGAGACACGGCCCAGACGCCUACGGGAGGGAGCAGGAGGGAAACGUCGGAAAAGGGGGGAAACCUGACCGAGCAACGCCGCGGGAGUGAAGAAGGGUUUCGGAUCGUAAAGCUCUGUUGUUAAGGAAGCGGUACUUAACCAGAAAGGGACGGCUAACUACGUGCCAGCAGCCGCGGUAAUAC